GGGGAUAACACUUGGAAACAGGUGCUAAUACCGCAUAACCAUAGUUACCGCAUGGUAACUAUGUAAAAGGUGGCUAUACUACCGCUUUUGGAUGGGCCCGCGGCGCAUUAGCUAGUUGGUAGGGUAAAGGCUUACCAAGGCAAUGAUGCGUAGCCGAAUUGAGAGGUUGAUCGGCCACAUUGGGACUGAGACACGGCCCAAACUCCUACGGGAGGCAGCAGUAGGGAAUCUUCCACAAUGGGCGAAAGCCUGAUGGAGCAACGCCGCGUGGGUGAAGAAGGUCUUCGGAUCGUAAAACCCUGUUGUUAGAGAAGAAAGUGCGUGAGAGUAACUGUUCACGUUUCGACGGUAUCUAACCAGAAAGCCACGGCUAACUACGUGCCAGCAGCCGCGGUAAUACGUAGGUGGCAAGCGUUAUCCGGAUUUAUUGGGCGUAAAGGGAACGCAGGCGGUCUUUUAAGUCUGAUGUGAGAGCCUUCGGCUUAACCGGAGUAGUGCAUUGGAAACUGGGAGACUUGAGUGCAGAAGAGGAGAGUGGAACUCCAUGUGUAGCGGUGAAAUGCGUAGAUAUAUGGAAGAACACCAGUGGCGAAAGCGGCUCUCUGGUCUGUAACUGACGCUGAGGUUCGAAAGCGUGGGUAGCAAACAGGAUUAGAUACCCUGGUAGUCCACGCCGUAAACG
rnacentral:rRNA from 1 species